GUUGUCAUAGACGUCAAAUUUUCAUGAACAGACUAUCUAUUCACGUUGAAUUUUUUCGAGUUUUGUAAGAAAUCAUUUAUUGGCUGGAAGCUUGACUGUAGUUACAUUAUCAAAGAAUUGAGCCUUUUGAAAUCCUUCAACUAUCAAUUGGAAAUGCUGGCAAAAGUCCAUGGAACAUAAAAUAAAGUCGAACUUGUACGGGUAGUCUAGUGAAUUUCCAAAAGGGAAGUUGUUCCCCGUUGGGAAAGAUUUCGCACCCUAAUUUGAUCAGAGUAGAAAGGAAACAGAUGCCUUCUUCUUCUUGUGUGCUGUGCCUUCUUCUUCCAAAAAUGGACAAUAGCUGCUGGCAAUAGACAUUGGUUCAUAUCGUACCAGUUCAGAGAUGCCAGAUUUGCAGACAAGUCUGCAAAUUCGCAGACUUUUAAUUUAAGCUGCAGAUUUUUUCGAUGACGCAGAUAUUUGCAGAUUUUCUAGUUUGGUUGCAGAUAUUUGCAGAUUUUUUAGUUUUGUUGCAGAUAUUUGCAGAUUUUUGAAUAUAAAGGCUUUUGGUUACACUAGCUUUCCUGACAUUUUUGUUCUUCCCAGACUUUUAAAAUUAUUAUCGCAGACAUUUGAAAAAAGUACCUGGCAUCUCUGUACCAGUUAUGAGAUUCUUUUCUUCUCUCACACGCGCUGGUAAGCGAAGGAGAUACAGGAAAAGAUGAGUUUUGUUCCCGUACUGGUGGGUUAAGCCAUUAAAUGAUGUAUGAAUCAGACUACCCGAGGAAUGUCCUGGUUCAAGUAAUAUAUACAUUCAUGCCAGGGAAACAGUUCUAUCGAUGCGUAAUCUUCAGAUUUAGUUCAUAAUUACUAUUUGUGUAAAUAGUGUAGAAUGCAUUGCUUCCUGUAAGAGAGAUAGUUGUAUAUGGUAGACUCGAGCGAGAGAAGAGUGUUACGGUUCAAAUAUCGCGAGAAAAUAAAUCCGAAAUAUGCUUUUAUGAUGCAUAUUCACAGUUUCUUUGGAUUUUUCUAAUCUUAGCAAUAAGAAACAGACAAUAGAUACCUAAAAAAUGUUACUCAGACUGAAUUGCCUUUAACAGUUCGUUGCCAUUUAUAUAUACUAUAUUGAAAAAUGUAAAUAUUGAGCGACUCUACUGAAGGUGAUGGUAAGUUUUCACUAUUACGCGCUUUUUAAUGUUGGACUGACAAAUAGUUUUAAAAUCAGUGCUGAAAAAAGGUUAAUAAAAUGCUUGAUGUUUGUUUACAUUUUUCUGAUCUUUCUCAAAACUUAUGUAGAGGGCACCUCAGUACAUUUGAAGAUUUCCAUGCACAAUAGCACUAAGAUUCCUGCAGUAUCGACACUUGCCUCCACUGAACGACAAUCGAAUCCAUCGCUAGAACUGUAACGAAAGAUCACUUGUAUAUAACUGCUCGAUAUAGCGCAUCAAUGUAGGUAGUCUGCUCCCUCAUACGAUCAAAUGGAAUAACCCUCCAGUUCGGGUAAUAUGGGAAACCAAAGUAAUCUCGAUGGAUCGUCCCCAGAGAAGGAUGUGUUCCAUUAAGAUAUAAGCAUUUGUUGGUUCCUAUUGAAAACAAAACAAGAAAAAAAAACACCAUUACUGGGUAAGACCUAUAUACGAGUCCUUUGCCAGCGCAAGAUCGUAAAGCUCGUUUUAAGCUUUAAGAGAGAAGAAACAGUGAGAGGUGCGGUACAAAAUAAUAAUAAAUGUUUGAGUUGCAGUUUGCGUUUCGAACCAAAGCUCAAA